AGCGUACACGGUGGAUGCCCUGGCAGUCAGAGGCGAUGAAGGACGUGCUAAUCUGCGAUAAGCGUCGGUAAGGUGAUAUGAACCGUUAUAACCGGCGAUUUCCGAAUGGGGAAACCCAGUGUGUUUCGACACACUAUCAUUAACUGAAUCCAUAGGUUAAUGAGGCGAACCGGGGGAACUGAAACAUCUAAGUACCCCGAGGAAAAGAAAUCAACCGAGAUUCCCCCAGUAGCGGCGAGCGAACGGGGAGCAGCCCAGAGCCUGAAUCAGUGUGUGUGUUAGUGGAAGCGUCUGGAAAGGCGCGCGAUACAGGGUGACAGCCCCGUACACAAAAAUGCACAUACUGUGAGCUCGAUGAGUAGGGCGGGACACGUGGUAUCCUGUCUGAAUAUGGGGGGACCAUCCUCCAAGGCUAAAUACUCCUGACUGACCGAUAGUGAACCAGUACCGUGAGGGAAAGGCGAAAAGAACCCCGGCGAGGGGAGUGAAAAAGAACCUGAAACCGUGUACGUACAAGCAGUGGGAGCCUCUUUAUGGGGUGACUGCGUACCUUUUGUAUAAUGGGUCAGCGACUUAUAUUCUGUAGCAAGGUUAACCGAAUAGGGGAGCCGAAGGGAAACCGAGUCUUAACUGGGCGUUAAGUUGCAGGGUAUAGACCCGAAACCCGGUGAUCUAGCCAUGGGCAGGUUGAAGGUUGGGUAACACUAACUGGAGGACCGAACCGACUAAUGUUGAAAAAUUAGCGGAUGACUUGUGGCUGGGGGUGAAAGGCCAAUCAAACCGGGAGAUAGCUGGUUCUCCCCGAAAGCUAUUUAGGUAGCGCCUCGUGAAUUCAUCUCCGGGGGUAGAGCACUGUUUCGGCAAGGGGGUCAUCCCGACUUACCAACCCGAUGCAAACUGCGAAUACCGGAGAAUGUUAUCACGGGAGACACACGGCGGGUGCUAACGUCCGUCGUGAAGAGGGAAACAACCCAGACCGCCAGCUAAGGUCCCAAAGUCAUGGUUAAGUGGGAAACGAUGUGGGAAGGCCCAGACAGCCAGGAUGUUGGCUUAGAAGCAGCCAUCAUUUAAAGAAAGCGUAAUAGCUCACUGGUCGAGUCGGCCUGCGCGGAAGAUGUAACGGGGCUAAACCAUGCACCGAAGCUGCGGCAGCGACACUAUGUGUUGUUGGGUAGGGGAGCGUUCUGUAAGCCUGUGAAGGUGUACUGUGAGGUAUGCUGGAGGUAUCAGAAGUGCGAAUGCUGACAUAAGUAACGAUAAAGCGGGUGAAAAGCCCGCUCGCCGGAAGACCAAGGGUUCCUGUCCAACGUUAAUCGGGGCAGGGUGAGUCGACCCCUAAGGCGAGGCCGAAAGGCGUAGUCGAUGGGAAACAGGUUAAUAUUCCUGUACUUGGUGUUACUGCGAAGGGGGGACGGAGAAGGCUAUGUUGGCCGGGCGACGGUUGUCCCGGUUUAAGCGUGUAGGCUGGUUUUCCAGGCAAAUCCGGAAAAUCAAGGCUGAGGCGUGAUGACGAGGCACUACGGUGCUGAAGCAACAAAUGCCCUGCUUCCAGGAAAAGCCUCUAAGCAUCAGGUAACAUCAAAUCGUACCCCAAACCGACACAGGUGGUCAGGUAGAGAAUACCAAGGCGCUUGAGAGAACUCGGGUGAAGGAACUAGGCAAAAUGGUGCCGUAACUUCGGGAGAAGGCACGCUGAUAUGUAGGUGAAGUCCCUCGCGGAUGGAGCUGAAAUCAGUCGAAGAUACCAGCUGGCUGCAACUGUUUAUUAAAAACACAGCACUGUGCAAACACGAAAGUGGACGUAUACGGUGUGACGCCUGCCCGGUGCCGGAAGGUUAAUUGAUGGGGUUAGCGCAAGCGAAGCUCUUGAUCGAAGCCCCGGUAAACGGCGGCCGUAACUAUAACGGUCCUAAGGUAGCGAAAUUCCUUGUCGGGUAAGUUCCGACCUGCACGAAUGGCGUAAUGAUGGCCAGGCUGUCUCCACCCGAGACUCAGUGAAAUUGAACUCGCUGUGAAGAUGCAGUGUACCCGCGGCAAGACGGAAAGACCCCGUGAACCUUUACUAUAGCUUGACACUGAACAUUGAGCCUUGAUGUGUAGGAUAGGUGGGAGGCUUAGAAGUGUGGACGCCAGUCUGCAUGGAGCCGACCUUGAAAUACCACCCUUUAAUGUUUGAUGUUCUAACGUUGACCCGUGAUCCGGGUUGCGGACAGUGUCUGGUGGGUAGUUUGACUGGGGCGGUCUCCUCCUAAAGAGUAACGGAGGAGCACGAAGGUUGGCUAAUCCUGGUCGGACAUCAGGAGGUUAGUGCAAUGGCAUAAGCCAGCUUGACUGCGAGCGUGACGGCGCGAGCAGGUGCGAAAGCAGGUCAUAGUGAUCCGGUGGUUCUGAAUGGAAGGGCCAUCGCUCAACGGAUAAAAGGUACUCCGGGGAUAACAGGCUGAUACCGCCCAAGAGUUCAUAUCGACGGCGGUGUUUGGCACCUCGAUGUCGGCUCAUCACAUCCUGGGGCUGAAGUAGGUCCCAAGGGUAUGGCUGUUCGCCAUUUAAAGUGGUACGCGAGCUGGGUUUAGAACGUCGUGAGACAGUUCGGUCCCUAUCUGCCGUGGGCGCUGGAGAACUGAGGGGGGCUGCUCCUAGUACGAGAGGACCGGAGUGGACGCAUCACUGGUGUUCGGGUUGUCAUGCCAAUGGCACUGCCCGGUAGCUAAAUGCGGAAGAGAUAAGUGCUGAAAGCAUCUAAGCACGAAACUUGCCCCGAGAUGAGUUCU
rnacentral:rRNA from 1 species